ACUGGUUUGAGUGUUUCUGAGCCUUGCAAACGCACAAGCAGAAAAUGAAAGCAGCAAAUACAGAGUGCUGCUGUGAAUAAGACUUACCACAGUUUAGAACGUGUGGUGUAGCACCAAGGAAGCGCAUUUGCAACUGAGGACUAUCUAAAAGCUAUCCAGAACUGCCCUGAGGAGCAGCUACCUCAGCGAAAGCCUCCAGCAUAACAACACGUAAGCAGGAACCUCAUCGAACACCAUUGCCUCCGCGCUUCAUCCUUCGGGCAGAAAACCACCACGUCCGCUCGGCCUGCCGUGCCUUUCUUCACACCGAGCCCCCUCCAACUCUCGUCUCCCCUGGCGAAGCCUGGCCAUGCAAAGCUCUAACCGGACUCCAGCCUCGCUGCCCGAACUGCCCGGCCGCACCGGCGCGCGCCAGCCCUCACACCC